AAAGACAGAAACUCUUACCGACAAACUCAUUUUUACUUUUCGAUAUCCCCAAAGCUUCUCUAAGAUCAGAAAAGAGAAGAUCGAUCUUGUUUCCGAUCAAGGGCAGAACAACGUCGAUAGAAUAAUCUCGUCACCUGUUAAUCCCUGUGGGUAUUGUUGAAGCGGGUGGACUGCGAAGAUACCAAGAUUAAAUAAUCUGUAUUAAGCGAACGGAACAGAGCAGUGCCACCAUAGAUCUGUUCAGAUCUUCUUUAGAACUUGGCUCGAAGAAUAAGGGAAUGAUCUGACAGAAGCAUGAAAAAAGUAAAAAGAAAGGGAAAAGUCAGUAGAUCGACAGAGGAUUUCACCAUAUCAUAUAUCUCGCGGAAGGCAAUAUCUGGAUAAGUAAGAUCAGUCUGAGAUGGUUUCGUAUUUGUCAUUGAAGAGUUGAAAGACAACGAAAAGAUACUUAAUACAUCUUAGAUUGGAAAGGUUUGGAAUCGUUCAAAGAUGAUCUGUAGCAAUUAAAACUUGAUUGUUUAAAUGGAAAGAUAUAUUGUUGGAGAACAACUCCACAUGGACGCGGGUCAAGGACUAUGACUUCAUUCUUCUAAGAAGAAAAACAUGAAUUAAAUAUAUAAGAUAAGUUAAUUUCAGAGACUUUCUAGUUUUUUUUAAUUAGUUAAAAUGUUUCUACCACUGGAAAAUAGAUGAAGUUAUAUAUAUUCAUCCGAAGUUAUGAAUGUUGAUUGCAGUAUAUCUCUCUAUAGCUUUAUUUUUUGGGUUAUACAUGAGAAAUAAAAAUGUUUCAUACUUUCUGAGUUUACUUAAUAGUAUAGUCACAGUUGAUGUGAAGGUCGAGCUAUCAAAGGUUUAGAGGCAUCACCUUUAUUCAUAUAUUCAUAGGCUUAAAUAGUAGUAAUUAGUUAGUUAGGAGAAUAACCCUGAACAUUUUUUAUGAAAGUUGAUUGCAGUAUAGCUCUCUAUAGCUUUAUUUUUGGGACUAUACAUGAGAAAUAUAUAUGUUUCAUACUUUCUGAGUUAACUUAAUAGCAUAGUUGUUAAUGUGCAGGUCGAGCUAUCAAAGAGAUAGAGGCAGAAGCUUCAUUCACAUAUAUCAAUAGGGACAAAAACAUAACUGCAUCGAAAUAGGAAAUCAAGGUUGAUGAUCAUUUGAGAAGCAUCAAAGGAAUUAGAGAGUUGGAGUUCUCCUGUUCUCAAAAUAAUUUAGUGGCAGAAUGGAGAAUGUCGCCUAAUUUCCCCCAAAUACAGCAUGGAAUUCUUAAAUCACUACAGCGCAAGACGAAAAGAGAGGUAUGAUUUGUUGUUCGGAAUGCUCCUCCUGCAGGCCUAACAUGGAAGUUUCUGAUCUUGCGCCAUACUCCAACUUGAAGAAGCCUUCCUUUACUCUCAAAGGUAUAUGGUUUGAGCUAAACAGAGAUGACCUUUUUGUGGAAAGAAAUUAGAGCUUGAGCAUUAAAAAUAGACUUUGAGGUUAAUUGACAUGGUUUAUCUUGGUAUUUCAUUGGUCGUUUGUUAUUGGGCUGUAAUGCAGGCGAAAUUGAUUGAUUUGUAUGUUUUUUUAUUGGGCUCAAAGAAUGAUCGAUUAAGAUUUUGUGAAAGUGUAAUCAAUACAAUUAAAACAGCAGACUGAUUUUUGAG